rnacentral:rRNA from 1 species
AACGAACGCUGGCGGCAUGCCUAACACAUGCAAGUCGAACGAGACCUUCGGGUCUAGUGGCGCACGGGUGCGUAACGCGUGGGAAUCUGCCCUUGGGUUCGGAAUAACAGUUGGAAACGACUGCUAAUACCGGAUGAUGACGUAAGUCCAAAGAUUUAUCGCCCAAGGAUGAGCCCGCGUAGGAUUAGCUAGUUGGUGAGGUAAAGGCUCACCAAGGCGACGAUCCUUAGCUGGUCUGAGAGGAUGAUCAGCCACACUGGGACUGAGACACGGCCCAGACUCCUACGGGAGGGAGCAGUGGGGAAUAUUGGACGAUGGGCGAAAGCCUGAUCCAGCAAUGCCGCGUGAGUGAUGAAGGCCUUAGGGUUGUAAAGCUCUUUUACCCGGGAUGAUAAUGACAGUACCGGGAGAAUAAGCUCCGGCUAACUCCGUG